CCUACGGGAGACAGCAGUGAGGAAUAUUGGUCAAUGGGCGAGAGCCUGAACCAGCCAAGUCGCGUGAGGGAGUACUGCCCUAUGGGUUGUAAACCUCUUUUGUCGGGGAGCAAAAGCCGGACGUGUCCGGCUGUGAGAGUACCCGAAGAAAAAGCAUCGGCUAACUCCGUGCCAGCAGCCGCGGUAAUACGGGGGAUGCGAGCGUUAUCCGGAUUUAUUGGGUUUAAAGGGUGCGCAGGCGGAUUUUUAAGUCAGCGGUAAAAUCGUGGGGCUCAACCCCAUCCAGCCGUUGAAACUGGGGAUCUAGAGUGUGCGAGAGGUAUGCGGAAUGCGUGGUGUAGCGGUGAAAUGCAUAGAUAUCACGCAGAACCCCGAUUGCGAAGGCAGCAUACCGGUGCACAACUGACGCUCAGGCACGAAAGCGUGGGUAUCGAACAGGAUUAGAUACCCCUGUAGUC
rnacentral:rRNA from 1 species